rnacentral:rRNA from 1 species
GAUGAACGCUGGCGGCGUGCCUAAUACAUGCAAGUCGAGCGAAUGGAUUAAGAGCUUGCUCUUAUGAAGUUAGCGGCGGACGGGUGAGUAACACGUGGGUAACCUGCCCAUAAGACUGGUAUAACUACGGGAAACCGGGGCUAAUACCGGAUAACAUUUUGAGCCGCAGGGUUCGAAGUGGAAAGGCGGCUUCGGCUGUCACUUAUGGAUGGACCCGGGUCGCAUUAGCUAGUUGGUGAGGUAACGGCUCACCAAGGCAACGAUCCGUAGCCGACCUGAGAGGGUGAUCGGCCACACUGGGACUGAGACACGGCCCAGACUCCUACGGGAGGCAGCAGUAGGGAAUCUUCCGCAAUGGACGAAAGUCUGACGGAGCAACGCCGCGUGAGUGAUGAAGGCUUUCGGGUCGUAAAACUCUGUUGUUAGGGAAGAACAAGUGCUAGUUGAAUAAGCUGGCACCUUGACGGUACCUAACCAGAAAGCCACGGCUAACUACGUGCCAGCCGCCGCCGUAA